UGGGAUAUAGCUCAGUUGGUAGAGUGCUUGCCUCAAAUGCACAAGGCCCUGGGUUCAAUCCCCAGCACCCCCU
rnacentral:tRNA from 1 species